rnacentral:rRNA from 1 species
UACGAGGGGGGCGAGCGUUGUUCGGAAUUAUUGGGCGUAAAGGGUGCGUAGGCGGUUUGGUAAGUCUUAUGUGAAAUCUACAGGCUCAACUUGUAGUCUGCAUGAGAAACUGCCGGGCUUGAGUAUGGGAGAGGUGAGUGGAAUUCCUGGUGUAGCGGUGAAAUGCGUAGAUAUCAGGAGGAACACCGGUGGCGAAGGCGGUGUCCUGGGCCGAUCCUGACGCUGAGGAGCGAAAGCUGGGGGAGCAAACAGG